UCUGUUUCUUACAUGUUUCUCUCAUAUGUUGAAUAUGACUUCACAACAGAGAGAAGAGAAUGUUUUCACCUCUAUGAGCCACCACUACGCAACAGAUGUUCUGCUGAACUUAAUCUAUUUUGUGCCAAUAUCUGAAGCAUUGCUUUGAGGAAGAGACCAGAUCUUCUUGUGAAACCCCACUUGGAGUAUUGCAUGCAGUUCUGGUGUCUCCAACAUAUUAAGGACAUGGAACUCUGUGAGCAAGUCCAGAGGAGGGCCACAAAGCUGAUUAGAACACUGGAACACCUCCCCUAUGAAGACAGGCUGUUGGGUCUAUUCAGCCUGGAGAAGAAAAGGUUGUGUGGGGACCUCACAGCACCUUCCAAUAUCUGAAGGGGACUUAGAGGGUUGCUGUGGAAGGACUCUUUGGAACUGGAGUUACAGAACAAGGAGUAUUGGGUACAAAUUGAAAGAGGGGAAAUUUAGGUGAUACUUCUUUAGAAGCAGGAGAUGUAAUUUGGAGGAAUAACUGAGAGAUACAUGCUGAAAAUAAAGUGGAUCAAUACUGAACAAUGAAGAACAAGACCAGCCAUACAGAGAUACAGGGUUAAAAUAGUUCCACAGUGAUGUCCAAACAUCUCUGAAGAUGAUGUUAGAGGAAAGGACAGAAUGAGUCAUGCAGACAAUACUAAAUACCAGUCCUUCCACUGCCAAAGCAGUGAGCAGGCAAACCUAGGCAGGACUGUGCUUGGAAUGGCAGUGGGAAGGUGGGGCUGCACAGUCCAAGAAGCCUCUGUGAGGAGAGCAGGAUCCUGCACAGUACCAUCCCAGGACUGUAUCUGCAGGGAAGGACUUUCCCACCCUUUGUGUCCGGGAAUCAGUCACUCCCAGCAUCAUCUCCUUAAAUCACUGCUCCUCCUGCAGGCUGUGCCAACCCCAGCGUGCCAUCAGGAGCCAGCCCUGUCCCACCAUGGCAAACCUGCUCCCAGGGCUGGAGGAGUUCUCUCAUCCCCAGCCCAUCUCAAGGAACUCUGCCAUUUCAAAUUAUUUGAAGCAGAUGACAACCAGAUGAAAACCAA